AGCAGCCGCGGUAAUUCCAGCUCCAAUAGCGUAUAUUAAAGUUGUUGCAGUUAAAAAGCUCGUAGUUGAAUUUCGGGAUCAGUUGAUCGGUCGUGCCUCGGUACGUACUGGUCAAAUUGAUUCCUACCUUCUGACGAACCACGAUGUCAUUAAUUUGGUGUCGCGGGAAAUCAGGACUGUUACUUUGAAAAAAUUAGAGUGUUUAAAGCAGGCUCGCGCUUGAAUACAUUAGCAUGGAAUAAUGAAAUAGGACGUUUGAUUCUAUUUUGUUGGUUUCUAGGAUCGACGUAAUGAUUAAUAGGGAUAGUUGGGGGCAUUAGUAUUCAAUUGUCAGAGGUGAAAUUCUUGGAUUUAUUGAAGACUAACUACUGCGAAAGCAUUUGCCAAGGAUGUUUUCAUUAAUCAAGAACGAAAGUUAGGGGAUCGAAGACGAUCAGAUACCGUCGUAGU
rnacentral:rRNA from 1 species